rnacentral:rRNA from 1 species
CACGUAGGGGGCAAGCGUUGUCCGGAUUUAUUGGGCGUAAAGAGCUCGUAGGCGGCUUGGCAAGUCAGAUGUGAAAGCCCUCGGCUUAACCGAGGAAGUGCGUCUGAAACUGCUGAGCUUGAGUCUCGGAGAGGAUGGCGGAAUUCCGCAAGUAGAGGUGAAAUUCGUAGAUAUGCGGAGGAACAUCGGUGGCGAAGGCGGCCAUCUGGACGAGUACUGACGCUGAGACGCGAAAGCGUGGGGAGCAAACAGG